rnacentral:misc_RNA from 1 species
GAAAUGCGAUAACUAGUGUGAAUUGCAGAAUUCUGUGAAUCAUCGAGCCCUUGAACGCAAAUUGCGCCUGUGAGUCGCCUCGCAGGCACACCUGUUUGAGUAUCGGCAAUCAAAUUCAUCCUAUACCAUUUAUUCCCUCCCAGCGGGGGGAUAGAAAGUGUGAUAGGGAUAAUGGGUUUGUUGGCCAAACAUUUUGGCCAUCACCUGAAAAACAGUGGCGGGCUCGCUGUCACCCCGAGCGUAGUAGUAUUAUCUCGCUUAGGGCGUGCUGCGGGUUCCGGCCGUUAAACCCCCCCAUACCCCAAGGUUGACCUCGGAUCAGGUAGGAAUACCCGCUGAACUUAA